GUACUGCUGAAGAGUCUCAAACUAGGACGAAACAGCCGUCCAGUGC
rnacentral:hammerhead_ribozyme from 1 species